CCCCAGACUCCUACGGGAGGCAGCAGUGGGGAAUAUUGCACAAUGGGGGAAACCCUGAUGCAGCAACGCCGCGUGAGUGAAGAAGUCAUUCGUGAUGUAAAGCUCUAUCAGCAGGGAAGAAAAUGACGGUACCUGAGUAAGAAGCCCCGGCUAACUACGUGCCAGCAGCCGCGGUAAUACGUAGGGGGCAAGCGUUAUCCGGAUUUACUGGGUGUAAAGGGAGCGUAGACGGCUGUGCAAGCCAGAUGUGAAAGCCCGGGGCUCAACCCCGGGACUGCAUUUGGAACUGCGUGGCUUGAGUGCAGGAGGGGCAGGCGGAAUUCCUGGUGUAGCGGUGAAAUGCGUAGAUAUCAGGAGGAACACCGGUGGCGAAGGCGGCCUGCUGGACUGCAACUGACGUUGAGGCCCGAAAGCGUGGGGAGCAAACAGGAUUAGAUACCCGAGUAGU
rnacentral:rRNA from 1 species